rnacentral:rRNA from 1 species
UUAAGCGAACAAGCGUACACGGUGGAUGCCCUGGCAGUCAGAGGCGAUGAAGGACGUGCUAAUCUGCGAAAAGCGCCGGUAAGGUGAUAUGAACCGUUAUAACCGGCGAUGUCCGAAUGGGGAAACCCGGUGCACUUCGGUGCAUCAUCGUUAGCUGAAUACAUAGGCUAACGAGGCGAACCGGGGGAACUGAAACAUCUAAGUACCCCGAGGAAAAGAAAUCAACCGAGAUUCCCCCAGUAGCGGCGAGCGAACGGGGAACAGCCCAGAGCCUGAAUCAGCUUGUGUGUCAGUGGAACGGUCUGGAAAGGCCGGCGAUACAGGGUGACAGCCCCGUACACGAAGGCACACAGGCUGUGAGCUCGAUGAGUAGGGCGGGACACGUGAUAUCCUGUCUGAAGAUGGGGGGACCAUCCUCCAAGGCUAAAUACUCCUGACUGACCGAUAGUGAACCAGUACCGUGAGGGAAAGGCGAAAAGAACCCCGGCGAGGGGAGUGAAACAGAACCUGAAACCGUGUACGUACAAGCAGUGGGAGCCUUCGUAAGAGGGUGACUGCGUACCUUUUGUAUAAUGGGUCAGCGACUUAUAUUCUGUAGCAAGGUUAACCGUAUAGGGGAGCCGAAGGGAAACCGAGUCUUAAUUGGGCGUUAAGUUGCAGGGUAUAGACCCGAAACCCGGUGAUCUAGCCAUGGGCAGGUUGAAGGUUGGGUAACACUAACUGGAGGACCGAACCGACUAAUGUUGAAAAAUUAGCGGAUGACCUNNNNNNNNNNCUGUGGCUGGGGGUGAAAGGCCAAUCAAACCGGGAGAUAGCUGGUUCUCCCCGAAAGCUAUUUAGGUAGCGCCUCGUGAACUCAUCUCCGGGGGUAGAGCACUGUUUCGGCUAGGGGGCCAUCCCGGCUUACCAACCCGAUGCAAACUGCGAAUACCGGAGAAUGUUAUCACGGGAGACACACGGCGGGUGCUAACGUCCGUCGUGAAGAGGGAAACAACCCAGACCGCCAGCUAAGGUCCCAAAGUCAUGGUUAAGUGGGAAACGAUGUGGGAAGGCCCAGACAGCCAGGAUGUUGGCUUAGAAGCAGCCAUCAUUUAAAGAAAGCGUAAUAGCUCACUGGUCGAGUCGGCCUGCGCGGAAGAUGUAACGGGGCUAAACCAUGCACCGAAGCUGCGGCAGCGACGCUUAUGCGUUGUUGGGUAGGGGAGCGUUCUGUAAGCCUGCGAAGGUGUGCUGUGAGGCAUGCUGGAGGUAUCAGAAGUGCGAAUGCUGACAUAAGUAACGAUAAAGCGGGUGAAAAGCCCGCUCGCCGGAAGACCAAGGGUUCCUGUCCAACGUUAAUCGGGGCAGGGUGAGUCGACCCCUAAGGCGAGGCCGAAAGGCGUAGUCGAUGGGAAACAGGUUAAUAUUCCUGUACUUGGUGUUACUGCGAAGGGGGGACGGAGAAGGCUAUGUCGGCCGGGCGACGGUUGUCCCGGUUUAAGCGUGUAGGCUGACUUUCCAGGCAAAUCCGGAAAGUUAAGGCUGAGGCGUGAUGACGAGGCACUACGGUGCUGAAGUGACAAAUGCCCUGCUUCCAGGAAAAGCCUCUAAGCAUCAGGUAACAUCAAAUCGUACCCCAAACCGACACAGGUGGUCAGGUAGAGAAUACCAAGGCGCUUGAGAGAACUCGGGUGAAGGAACUAGGCAAAAUGGUGCCGUAACUUCGGGAGAAGGCACGCUGACAUGUAGGUGAAGCCCCUGCGGGUGGAGCUGAAGUCAGUCGAAGAUACCAGCUGGCUGCAACUGUUUAUUAAAAACACAGCACUGUGCAAACACGAAAGUGGACGUAUACGGUGUGACGCCUGCCCGGUGCCGGAAGGUUAAUUGAUGGGGUUAUCGCAAGAGAAGCUCCUGAUCGAAGCCCCGGUAAACGGCGGCCGUAACUAUAACGGUCCUAAGGUAGCGAAAUUCCUUGUCGGGUAAGUUCCGACCUGCACGAAUGGCGUAAUGAUGGCCAGGCUGUCUCCACCCGAGACUCAGUGAAAUUGAACUCGCUGUGAAGAUGCAGUGUACCCGCGGCAAGACGGAAAGACCCCGUGAACCUUUACUACAGCUUGACACUGAACAUUGAGCCUUGAUGUGUAGGAUAGGUGGGAGGCUUUGAAGCGUGGACGCCAGUCUGCGUGGAGCCGACCUUGAAAUACCACCCUUUAAUGUUUGAUGUUCUAACCUGGCGCCGUGAUCCGGCGUGGGGACAGUGUCUGGUGGGUAGUUUGACUGGGGCGGUCUCCUCCCAAAGUGUAACGGAGGAGCACGAAGGUCAGCUAAUCCUGGUCGGACAUCAGGAGGUUAGUGCAAUGGCAUAAGCUGGCUUGACUGCGAGAGUGACGGCUCGAGCAGGUGCGAAAGCAGGUCAUAGUGAUCCGGUGGUUCUGUAUGGAAGGGCCAUCGCUCAACGGAUAAAAGGUACUCCGGGGAUAACAGGCUGAUACCGCCCAAGAGUUCAUAUCGACGGCGGUGUUUGGCACCUCGAUGUCGGCUCAUCACAUCCUGGGGCUGAAGUAGGUCCCAAGGGUAUGGCUGUUCGCCAUUUAAAGUGGUACGCGAGCUGGGUUUAGAACGUCGUGAGACAGUUCGGUCCCUAUCUGCCGUGGGCGCUGGAGAAUUGAGGGGGGCUGCUCCCAGUACGAGAGGACCGGAGUGGACGCAUCACUGGUGUUCGGGUUGUCAUGCCAAUGGCACUGCCCGGUAGCUAAAUGCGGAAGAGAUAAGUGCUGAAAGCAUCUAAGCACGAAACUUGCCCCGAGAUGAGUUCUCCCUGAGACUAUAAGUCUCCUGAAGGAACGUUGAAGACGACGACGUUGAUAGGCCGGGUGUGUAAGCGCAGCGAUGCGUUGAGCUAACCGGUACUAAUGAACCGUGAGGCUUAACCUU